UGACGAGUGGCGGACGGGUGAGUAAUGCUUGGGAAUCUGCCUUAUGGAGGGGGAUAGCUACGGGAAACUGUAGGUAAUACCGCGUAUAAUCGAGAGAUAAAAGUAUGGGAUCUUCGGACCAUGCGCCAUGAGAUGAGCCCAAGUGAGAUUAGGUAGUUGGUAGGGUAAAGGCUUACCAAGCCGACGAUCUCUAGCUGGUUUGAGAGAAUGAUCAGCCACACUGGAACUGAGACACGGUCCAG
rnacentral:rRNA from 1 species